ACUCCACUCCCCUCACUCUGCUCGCCCCAUUCUCAUCCGCUGCCACGGCCUUGCCUAGCCGCCACGGAGGCUGCUUCAAUCUCUCGUGACGCCUCGGUCCACAGGCCCUUCCUUCCUCCCCUCCUCACUGCUCACCUUCACCGGUGCUGGUGGAUCUCACCGCGCGCGUUCUCGGCUGUGCCGGAGUGGACACUUCAGCACUCGCUCCGCGGCUAUAUUGAGGAGAUCAUAUUGAUGGAUCGAGGGGGCAGGACGUGGCGGCAGGGAUGGAUGUGCCGGCGAUGGUGACUGUGCUGGGGAUUCGGCGCCAACAGGUCGCGUCGCGGCUCGACGUUCCCGACGGCUGCCCACGGUGCACAGGUCGCCCGCGCCCCCGCCGGGCUCCUAGACCGCCACAACGGCGGAAUGGCCCCGCCUCCGUCGACUGGUGUAAUUUGGACAGGAGCAAGUGCGCCAAUCAAUUCUGAUGUGGUGAGAUGCACAGGGAGAGGCCUGCAUCAGCAAGGCUAGCAGGAGGCCAUCCUCAGGAGGUCUGCGCCACGACGCCCGUACGGACGGCCGCAAGGAGUGAAUUAAGUAUCCAUGCUUCAGUAUCUUCACCAAGGAGUUCGGAGGCGAUGCAGCAGUGGUGAAGGCGAUGGUUGUGUCGGGUGCAGGCAGGUGCAGACGGGGUGAAUUGAGUUCAGAUCCUUGAACAAAUGAUUGUGAUUUUGUAGCUGCAGUGGUGCUAUUCUUUAUUAUUCCUUGACUUGUAUUCUUCUGCGCUCACUAUGCCUGCAAACAGAAGCACACGAUUUUUGAUGUCCUGAAGCGCAUACAAUUUUGGAUGUCCUGAGGCGCAUACACACGAUUUUGUUUGACUUGGGUGUUGAAACUGCCCUUUUGUCAUAACAUUGAUACAGUGUGAUGCCUAUGGGAAGAAGUGGUGCUUUGAGAGAAUAGGUUAAAGUGCAGUCACGUGCAUUGGCUUUCUCAUGUGGGUUGGGCCUCAUACUUUUCUGUGAAAGCAAUCGCAUUAGGAGUAAACUGUUCAUGCGAUGGUUGUAUGAGAUGUGAUGCCUGUAUGAGAUGCGAUGAUGUAUGAGAUGUGAUGGCUGUAUCAAAUAUACUAAGAAUACUAGGCCUGUAAGGGUUCGAUUUUUCUGGUUUUUUUGAACUUUUUACUGCUGCUAUAGAAUUGAUGCGUGUGACAGGGUGUUCCAUUCCCUUGGUUUGCCACGUUCUACCCCCACCGCUUUGACCAUCUACCAGUCAAACUUGUCUGGAGUAGAAAUCUCAGGAGUAGGAAGCGUACGACGCGUGGAUUGGCUUCGGUCUCUCUCCACCACCUGUCCUCUUUGACUCUCUCUUGAGAUAUUUCGCCUGGUCUCUCGAAGGAUCCCGUAAAGCCCGUUCCACCGCUUGGCCGCUGUUUGGCUCUAUAAAAACGCCCCACUCCAUGUGUGUCUUCCAUCUCGGCUGCGCCAUAAUCCCGGCUCCUUCUCUCCCGACGCCCCUCCCAUUGAAUACAGCGUGAGCUCUGCCCUGUUGAUGUCCGAUCCAGCGCCGCCGAUUUCUCCAUGGAGUGCAUGGGGUUCUAUCCUAGGUCGCUCGCCGGUCACGGGCUCUCCCUGCCCUGUGCGACUCCUCCGCAGUGUGGUCAUCCUCCCGCGCGAGCGCGGGUGUGCCGCCGUCGUCGAGAUGAACCGCGCCGCCUUCGGUCGCUGCCGCAGCAGGUAUGCAUUAGGAGCGGGCGCCUCUUUUUACCACGGGAAUCAAAUGCUGCUGGCCCCUGAUCUGGAUGACCAGACCUGCAGCCAACUCUUGAUAUGGAAGCAUGAAUAGUGCAGGAGCUAGCAAAGCUGCCGCUCGCCGUAUGGAACACCAGUACCACCGUGGGAAGGUGGAAGCACAAAUAGAAGCUGCUUUUUCUUCCUGGCCGAGUAUGGAUCAAGCGUCUCGGUCAUUAGCUUGGCAGCUAUGCAACAUGCCGUCUCGCCAGCACAACUUCAACCCAUCUGCACAGGUUCAGCGACGCCCCCCUUUCCAUGUCCUCUCGAUGGCAGGAUUACCUCGAUCUCUGGUGCAGCCGUGGUGUUCUGGUUCUUCUUUCUCGCUUGCAGAAGAUAAGCUUUCUAAGCACAAGACUCUUCAGCUUACUGAAAACUUUCUUACCCACAAAACUUCUUGCUGAUAUCUAAAAACGAACUGAUAGGACAACUUCAUAAUCUUACACGUUUAUAGCUUAGGACCUGCUAUUUGUCUCACUUCAUUCAUCUGCAUGCGAGUUGCAUUUGGGUCUCCUGAGAGCCAAUUAAUGAAUGCAUAGGCUUUCAUUUCGA